GUGGUCACAAAUCAUAGCCGAUGGUGCCAAUUUUUGGUACAAAACAAACCAAAACCCCCAAGAGAAGAAAAUAUAGAAAAUUAAAAAGAAAUAGAAGUUUCUGGAUAAUUAUGUGUGAUUGAGGCAGCAUGACGGCUGUCGGCGGUGAGGAAGAAGGGAGAGGGAGGUGGAAGGUUUUUUGAUAGUGAUCAAUCAUAGAGAUGAGGGAGAUUUAAAAAAAAAUUUGGGAGAGAUGAACUUAGCUUCAAUGGUGGCUGUUUGGUUGUAGGG
rnacentral:lncRNA from 1 species